rfam:Ornithorhynchus anatinus chromosome 4, whole genome shotgun sequence.
AGCAGGGUGGCUUAGUGGAUAGAGCAAAGGCCUGGGAGUCAGAAGGACCUGGGUUCUAAUCCCGGCUCUGCCA